CACGUAGGGGACGAGCGUUGUCCGGAUUCAUUGGGCGUAAAGCGCGCGUAGGCGGCUCGGAAAGUCGGUCGUGAAAUGCCGGGGCUCAACCCCGGGACUGCGUCCGAUACUUCCGGGCUGGAGGUAGGUAGGGGAGAUCGGAAUUCCUGGUGUAGCGGUGAAAUGCGCAGAUAUCAGGAGGAACACCCGUGGCGAAGGCGGCUCUCUGGGACGGUACUGACGCUGAGACGCGAAAGCGUGGGGAGCGAACAGG
rnacentral:rRNA from 1 species